rnacentral:rRNA from 1 species
CCUACGGGUGGCAGCAGUGGGGAAUAUUGGACAAUGGGGGGAACCCUGAUCCAGCCAUGCCGCGUGUGUGAAGAAGGCCCUCGGGUUGUAAAGCACUUUCAGUGAGGAAGAACGCCUGGUGGUUAAUACCCAUCAGGAAAGACAUCACUCACAGAAGAAGCACCGGCUAACUCCGUACCAGCAGCCGCGGUAAUACGGAGGGUGCGAGCGUUAAUCGGAAUUACUGGGCGUAAAGCGCGCGUAGGUGGCUUGAUAAGCCGGUUGUGAAAGCCCCGGGCUCAACCUGGGAACGGCAUCCGGAACUGUCAAGCUAGAGUGCAGGAGAGGAAGGUAGAAUUCCCGGUGUAGCGGUGAAAUGCGUAGAGAUCGGGAGGAAUACCAGUGGCGAAGGCGGCCUUCUGGACUGACACUGACACUGAGGUGCGAAAGCGUGGGUAGCAAACAGGAUUAGAUACCCCGGUAGUC